UAAGCUAGCAGGGGCUUCCGAACCAGACAUUUCUGCAGUUCUGAAAAAUCAUUCAUCCAAUGAAGUUGGUGUGGAGUGUGACGAAAAGAAGGUUGUGGAUGUCAACCCUGAAGCUUCGGAAACAAACACCAGGGAUGAAGAUAAACACAUUCUUGAAACUUGACUUUCACUCAGUGGGGAUGCGGAGGUGGUUAUGGUGAACAUGCUUGGGUUGGAUGAGUUUUUACCUGCCUUUCCGACAAUUCUUCCAAAGAGUUUGUUGGUAUACAUCAUAAAUGUCUCUUUG
rnacentral:misc_RNA from 1 species